UGUAGUGUUAUUACCACUUGAA
rnacentral:misc_RNA from 1 species